rnacentral:rRNA from 1 species
UACAGAGGGUGCAAGCGUUAAUCGGAAUUACUGGGCGUAAAGGGCUCGUAGGCGGCCAACUAAGUCGGAUGUGAAAUCCCCAGGCUUAACCUGGGAACUGCAUCCGAUACUGGAUGGCUUGAAUCCGGGAGAGGGAUGCGGAAUUCCAGGUGUAGCGGUGAAAUGCGUAGAUAUCUGGAGGAACACCGGUGGCGAAGGCGGCAUCCUGGACCGGCAUUGACGCUGAGGAGCGAAAGCCAGGGGAGCAAACGGG